rnacentral:lncRNA from 10 species
AACAAUUAUAAAAACCAUAUGUAGGUCAAACAGAACAUGUUGAUGAUGCUUUAGAGUUCUUGCCUUCUGUGAUUCAAAAUUUCUCCUGAAACCUGUCUAAGACCUGUCAGUCUAAACAUACAACAUCUUGAUUUUCAUCAUUUGUGUUCCAGUUGGAAUUUUCUAGAAAGGACUUGGUUAACUCAAGGGACAGGGAGGGAAGUAUGAGACAAUGUCACCAGAGGCGUUUCUGCCUCCCAGCAUUUACUCGACACCAUCAUCUCCUUCAUCUGGAUGCCUAUCCCUCUCCUUUCCAAAUUCUAUCCAUCAAUUUCCAUCAUGAAACCUUCUUUGACUCUUCUGGGCCUCACAGACUUCCCUGACUUCAGACUUGCUAUUCCACUUA